GGUUAAGCGACUAAGCGUACACGGUGGAUGCCCUGGCAGUCAGAGGCGAUGAAGGACGUGCUAAUCUGCGAUAAGCGUCGGUAAGGUGAUAUGAACCGUUAUAACCGGCGAUUUCCGAAUGGGGAAACCCAGUGUGUUUCGACACACUAUCAUUAACUGAAUCCAUAGGUUAAUGAGGCGAACCGGGGGAACUGAAACAUCUAAGUACCCCGAGGAAAAGAAAUCAACCGAGAUUCCCCCAGUAGCGGCGAGCGAACGGGGAGGAGCCCAGAGCCUGAAUCAGUGUGUGUGUUAGUGGAAGCGUCUGGAAAGGCGCGCGAUACAGGGUGACAGCCCCGUACACAAAAAUGCACAUGCUGUGAGCUCGAUGAGUAGGGCGGGACACGUGGUAUCCUGUCUGAAUAUGGGGGGACCAUCCUCCAAGGCUAAAUACUCCUGACUGACCGAUAGUGAACCAGUACCGUGAGGGAAAGGCGAAAAGAACCCCGGCGAGGGGAGUGAAAAAGAACCUGAAACCGUGUACGUACAAGCAGUGGGAG
rnacentral:rRNA from 1 species